GCCUGGGUGGCUCAGUCGGUUGAGCAUCCGACUUCAGCUCGGGUCACGAUCUCACGGUUCGUGAGUUCGAGCCCCGCGUCAGGCU
rnacentral:tRNA from 1 species